GACGAACGCUGGCGGCGUGCUUAACACAUGCAAGUCGAACGAAGAGCGAUGGACGCUUGCUUCUAUCAAUCUUAGUGGCGAACGGGUGAGUAACGCGUAAUCAACCUGCCCUUCAGAGGGGGACAACAGUUGGAAACGACUGCUAAUACCCAUACGAUCUAAUCUCGGCAUCGAGGAUAGAUGAAAGGUGGCCUCUACAUGUAAGCUAUCACUGAAGGAGGGGAUUGCGUCUGAUUAGCUAGUUGGAGGGGUAACGGCCCACCAAGGCGAUGAUCAGUAGCCGGUCUGAGAGGAUGAACGGCCACAUUGGGACUGAGACACGGCCCAGACUCCUACGGGAGGCAGCAGUGGGGAAUCUUCCGCAAUGGACGAAAGUCUGACGGAGCAACGCCGCGUGAGUGAUGACGGCCUUCGGGUUGUAAAGCUCUGUUAAUCGGGACGAAAGGCCUUCUUGCGAAUAGUGAGAAGGAUUGACGGUACCGGAAUAGAAAGCCACGGCUAACUACGUG
rnacentral:rRNA from 1 species